rnacentral:rRNA from 1 species
CGGCGAGGGGAGUGAAAAAGAACCUGAAACCGUGUACGUACAAGCAGUGGGAGCACCCUUUGGGGUGUGACUGCGUACCUUUUGUAUAAUGGGUCAGCGACUUAUAUUCUGUAGCAAGGUUAACCGUAUAGGGGAGCCGGAGGGAAACCGAGUCUUAACCGGGCGUUAAGUUGCAGGGUAUAGACCCGAAACCCGGUGAUCUAGCCAUGGGCAGGUUGAAGGUUGGGUAACACUAACUGGAGGACCGAACCGACUAAUGUUGAAAAAUUAGCGGAUGACCUGUGGCUGGGGGUGAAAGGCCAAUCAAACCGGGAGAUAGCUGGUUCUCCCCGAAAGCUAUUUAGGUAGCGCCUCGUGAAUUCAUCUCCGGGGGUAGAGCACUGUUUCGGCUAGGGGGCCAUCCCGGCUUACCAACCCGAUGCAAACUGCGAAUACCGGAGAAUGUUAUCACGGGAGACACACGGCGGGUGCUAACGUCCGUCGUGAAGAGGGAAACAACCCAGACCGCCAGCUAAGGUCCCAAAGUCAUGGUUAAGUGGGAAACGAUGUGGGAAGGCCCAGACAGCCAGGAUGUUGGCUUAGAAGCAGCCAUCAUUUAAAGAAAGCGUAAUAGCUCACUGGUCGAGUCGGCCUGCGCGGAAGAUGUAACGGGGCUAAACCAUGCACCGAAGCUGCGGCAGCGACACUCAGGUGUUGUUGGGUAGGGGAGCGUUCUGUAAGCCUGCGAAGGUGUGUCGUGAGGCAUGCUGGAGGUAUCAGAAGUGCGAAUGCUGACAUAAGUAACGAUAAAGCGGGUGAAAAGCCCGCUCGCCGGAAGACCAAGGGUUCCUGUCCAACGUUAAUCGGGGCAGGGUGAGUCGACCCCUAAGGCGAGGCCGAAAGGCGUAGUCGAUGGGAAACGGGUUAAUAUUCCCGUACUUGGUGUUACUGCGAAGGGGGGACGGAGAAGGCUAUGUUGGCCGGGCGACGGUUGUCCCGGUUUAAGCGUGUAGGUGUGUGUUCCAGGUAAAUCCGGUUCACUUUAACACUGAGGCGUGACGACGAGGCACUACGGUGCUGAAGCAACAAAUGCCCUGCUUCCAGGAAAAGCCUCUAAGCAUCAGGUAACAUCAAAUCGUACCCCAAACCGACACAGGUGGUCAGGUAGAGAAUACCAAGGCGCUUGAGAGAACUCGGGUGAAGGAACUAGGCAAAAUGGUGCCGUAACUUCGGGAGAAGGCACGCUGACACGUAGGUGAAGUGAUUUACUCACGGAGCUGAAGUCAGUCGAAGAUACCAGCUGGCUGCAACUGUUUAUUAAAAACACAGCACUGUGCAAACACGAAAGUGGACGUAUACGGUGUGACGCCUGCCCGGUGCCGGAAGGUUAAUUGAUGGGGUCAGCGCAAGCGAAGCUCCUGAUCGAAGCCCCGGUAAACGGCGGCCGUAACUAUAACGGUCCUAAGGUAGCGAAAUUCCUUGUCGGGUAAGUUCCGACCUGCACGAAUGGCGUAAUGAUGGCCAGGCUGUCUCCACCCGAGACUCAGUGAAAUUGAACUCGCUGUGAAGAUGCAGUGUACCCGCGGCAAGACGGAAAGACCCCGUGAACCUUUACUAUAGCUUGACACUGAACAUUGAGCCUUGAUGUGUAGGAUAGGUGGGAGGCUUUGAAGUGUGGACGCCAGUCUGCAU